AGUGAACGCUGGCGGUAGGCCUAACACAUGCAAGUCGAACGGCAGCACAGUAAGAGCUUGCUCUUACGGGUGGCGAGUGGCGGACGGGUGAGGAAUACAUCGGAAUCUACUUUUUCGUGGGGGAUAACGUAGGGAAACUUACGCUAAUACCGCAUACGACCUACGGGUGAAAGCAGGGGAUCUUCGGACCUUGCGCGAUUGAAUGAGCCGAUGUCGGAUUAGCUAGUUGGCGGGGUAAAGGCCCACCAAGGCGACGAUCCGUAGCUGGUCUGAGAGGAUGAUCAGCCACACUGGAACUGAGACACGGUCCAGACUCCUACGGGAGGCAGCAGUGGGGAAUAUUGGACAAUGGGCGCAAGCCUGAUCCAGCCAUACCGCGUGGGUGAAGAAGGCCUUCGGGUUGUAAAGCCCUUUUGGUUGGGAAGAAAAGCAGCAGGUUAAUACCCCGCUGUUCUGACGGUACCCAAAGAAUAGGCACCGGCUAACUUCGUG
rnacentral:rRNA from 1 species